GCCGCUGUGGUGGAAUAGGCAGACGCAAGGGACUUAAAAUCCCUCGUUCGAAAGAACGUACCGGUUCAAGUCCGGUCAGCGGCACCA
rnacentral:tRNA from 1 species